rnacentral:lncRNA from 1 species
CCCUCUAAUGUCUGUACUGUGGAUUAUGCCAUCUCACUACCUCUGGCUUUUGGUGGCACUACUGUAAAUUUCUAAUAUGUUUAAGUUAAGAGGUACUAGUGGAUAACUUCACCAUGAGCUCAAGAUAACAGGCCAUUCAACCCAGUGAAGAAACCCCCAGUGCGGCAGGAACGAGAGACAUCAGGGAACAACCACGUCCAUGUACAACUCUGAACAGUGAACAUCACUAUGUAGUAAUUUCACUCCUUUUUUUUCAGCCCAAAUUAACACAUACUGAGAGCCACUAGCAGGGUUUAUGUUUGAACUCUACAGGCUGUCAAGAACUCAGUGGGGUUUUUAGGAGACUCUUUAGUACUCUUUAGUUGUAUACAUGUCAGAAAAUAUGUGUAUUGGCAUCAAUCUCCUUGUUCCUGUAUCCAUUCAGUGAAUUUACCAGUAAUGCAUCUUUUACUCUUGUUUUAAAUAGGAGCUCAUUUUUAUCAUCAGCAGAUAUGGGUAAGAGAAAAACAGUCAAAAAUGAAGAUGAAUUUAAAAUUUAUUGAUGAUAUAAAAUUAAUUAUGGGUUUAGAAAGGUCUUAAAAUGUUCUAUGGGAUCAAACAUAGGAAUACAGGAAUUUAAAAUAUUCUGUGGGAGUAAAUCAAUUUUGGCUUCCAGAUUAGAGUACUAAUUGUCCUCUAGUACUUAAGUAACUUUAGAAAGAUUACAUAAACUUUCUGAAACUUAUUUUUCUCCUCUGUAAAAUGGAGAUAAAAGUAACUAAUUUAUGGAUCAUAAGGGUUACAUAAGAUUACAAGAAUUAAACAAAACAUGUAAAAAGCUUUGCAUUGCAGCUUCCACAUAAAGAGCACUAAAAAAAUUGUAACUAUUAUAAUUUUAUUACAAUUUUCAAUAUUAUGAAUGAUAAUAUUUAAAAUAUUAUUAAGUAUAUACACUGAAUUGGUUUCUAAUCAAAUAAGAAAUAUCAUUUUGUCACUUGAUGAGAAGUUCAAGGAUAGGGAGACAGGGCCAAUGUAGCAGCUGCAAAGUCCUCAAAAUCCCAGACUCCUUUCUUUCUCCUCAAGCACACCUAGGAUAUGACUCUUAUCCUCAUUAUCACAAGACGACUCUGCUUCCUACCCAUCCCCUCCUUUAAUAUCAUACCAAUACUUCAGACAUUCAAAAUAAAAAGGUCCAGGAUGGUUAAAUCUACAUCUCCUUAAAGAUGAUUCACCCUGUGAUUUUUGCUUAUCUCUCAUUGGCCAAAACUACGUCCCAUGAACAGCUUUAGCUUCUAAGAAGCCCGGGAAAUAUAGCUUGAAAGACUGGAAAAAGUUUAAAGAAGAACCUUCUAACUAAGCAUGUUGCCACGACCAACAAAAUCAGGAUUCUAGUAGUAAAAUAAAGAGAAGCAAAUGAAUAUUGAAUAGGCAACCAACAGUCAAUGCUAUACUAUUUUGAUGACUUUGUGAUAAAUGACCAGAGGAAUCCCGAUGUAACAAAACUGAGAGAGAACCAAAGGCUUCUCACAUAACCCUCUUUUUCUUGACUUUUCUUUAACCACAGAGAGACUGUUUCCCAUAUUUUUGUGUUUUCCUUGCUAAUUGAUCCACCUCAUUUAAGGGACCCUUCCAAUAUAAUAGCUCAUUAACAUUGAACUAGGUUCAGUCUUGGCUUUUUUUGGUUUCCUCUGAAAAUCUUUAGUUAUCCAGUGACUCAUUGUUUGAGUCUAGGUUCAUCUUUGACACUCUUCGAAAAAUAUCUCCACUUGAUUUCAUUAAUUAAAUGUGUUUAAGGAGUUCUCAUCGUGGAGCAGUGGAAACGAAUCCAACUAGGAACCAUGAGGUUGCGGGUGUUUAAGGAUCUGGCAUUGCUGUGAGCUGUGGUGUAUGUCGCAGAUGCUGCUCAGAGCCUGCGUUGCUGUGGCCCUGACGUAGGCCGGCAGCUCUAGCUCCAAUUAGACCCCUAGACUGGAACCUCCACAUGCUGUGGGUGAGGCCCUAAAAAGAUGUAAAAGACAAAAAAUAAAUAAAUGUGUUUAAGAUCAUUUUUAUUACUCUUUCUACCAGACUAUCAUCACCAACUCUCUGCUUAAAACAAAUAACACAGCCUUGGACUUCUUAAAUCCUGUCAUUUCUCUCUCUCUAACAUUUUUACAUUUAGCUUCUCACAAAGUCCAUUAAUUCAGCCUUUUUCUAGACUCCUUUUGCCUCACCUCUUCUCCCAUAUCAAAUCAGUUGCCAAGACCAGCAGUUCUUUACCUUGAAUAGUUUUUAAUAGCUAUGAUUUUCCCCACAACCAAUAGCCUAGACCAGGCCACCAUUCUACUUUGUCAAGGAUACUACACGACCACCUCUUUUGCCUCCUUUCAGUCUUGCUCACCUCCAAUCUACUCUCUACACUCAGCGCAAGCUCCCUAAAGGCCAGACCUGAUUGUAACAGUGCUCCCCUGCUUAAAUCUCUCCAAAUCUUCCCAGCUCUCACAGGGUAAAGUGACAUUAAAAGCCUUCACAGUCUCCUUUCUCCCACUCACAAACUCAUCCUCUAAAUUCCAAUCACACUAGUUUUAUUUAAACUUCUUCCAAAGUCCCAUGUCCUUUCACUUUAUAGCUUUUCAUAUUUCAUUCCUUCUACCUGGAAUAUUUCUCCCCUUGCCUAACUCACCUUUAUCCUUUGAAACCCAGCUUAUAUGUCACUUCCUUCAGGAAGCUAAUAGUUGUGUCUGUGACCCAGAUCUUAAUCUCACUGGACCUGAAUCAUUAUUAUUUCUUCCUUGCUUGAUUUCCCAAGUUCAGCUUUCCUUCAUCAAAAAAACCUCCAAAUCUCACCUUCAUAUUAUGUUGAUGACUGGAUAUUAGUAACCUCUAGUGAUUCCUAAUUUGUAUCCUAAAAGUAGUUGAAAAUUUUUAUUCACAGAGGUCAAAACUCUCAUUUCCAAUUAAGAAAUAUAUAACAUUUCCAAAUUGGUCUGACCCAAGCAGAAAAAUGCACUAUUACUCAUUGCAUAACUGAAAUCCUCUGGUUUCUGGAUCUUCAAGCAUGUCACAUGGGCAUUUCAGAAUAUCUUUCCCCACCUCCCUUCAAGCACUCACUCCCCUCUUUCUGAUACUUCAUAAGACUUUCUUCUCCACAAAACUGUCCUUUGCAAGAUCUUAGAUUAAACCAUGCCAAUCAUUUCAGCACUGACAGUAAUGUAAAAUGUGGUUGGUUACAUUUAUUAUGUUUUCUUUUUUCCCCCACUUUAUUUGUGGAGAGGGUUUCUUUCCUCACUGAAAUUCCUUAAAAGAAGGGAUCUUGCCUUUGAUAUACUUUAAUAUAAGAUAUAUACUAAUGAGGUCAUCAGAAAUUAUAAUAAGGUUUAAAAUAAUAUUCUACCUAAUUUGCUUUGUUGAAAUCCUGUUUAAAAUUCAAUGAUAGCAUGACAAACAUCUGCAUGACUGAAAUAUCAUUGUUUUCAUGUGAUUUGGGGCUUUUCAGCUAUUGGAAAUGCCAAACUUGUUUCCUAAGAAAUAUUUAUGUAACCAUGAAGUAGAGAACAUGAUAGUAAUCAAUUCACAUAAGAAUGGAUAACAAGGAACACUAAGACUUAUGAUAAAUGAUGUAUGAAAGAACACUAAAUUAGACUUGUUGUCAGACGUAAUUAGAAGACAAUUGCGAUGUUUCUUCAUGUCAGUAUCUUCUAUCUGACAAGGGUAAGAUACCUUUAUUAGUUGGUAUUAUCUUAACCAAAAAGAAUUUAGCUAAGCAAGAGGAAUUUUGUAAUGUUCUCAAUAUAUUUAAGAAAAAUAAUGAACACAUAACAUUUAAAUGUCUUAUAAACUGCCAAAUUAUUAAUGAUCUGGAGAGACUAUUUGCACUUUCUCAUUUAGAAGUUGUUCCGACUUUAAUUAAAUAUCUUUACGCAACAGUGAAGCUCUCUUUCUAGUUCUCUGCCUUGUGGAUGUGGAUUAAUGGGUGGAAUACCCAGAGAGUUCUGAUGUGCCCUUUCAUUGAAGUGUCUAGAAUAGCUCCAAAGUGAAACAAGAAUGGUGAUGGGGUCAGGCCUUGAGAGGUGGGGUUAAUGCUGGAGAAUGUGGAAGAGAAGAAAAGAGGACACAGUAUUGACUGCUUCCCUAACAAGUUAUUAUCUGAAGUGGCUCACAAAAAGGAAUUUGAAAUAUAAGCCAACAAAGUUCAGGAUGUCUUGUGUUCUUCCAAUCACUGUUGACCAUAUUUCAAUGCCUAGAGUUGUUAAUAUUAUGGAACUAGAUAUUUUUAAUGAUUUAUACUAUUUCCCCAAAAUGUAUAUCAGCCAUUUCAGAAAAUGUAAAACUCAGACUGUUCACAGAUUUCUAGACAAUGUUUUAAAGUAUAUUUCCUUUCUUAAUUUUCCAGAAAUGAAGUUUUCUUGGAUAUCACUUUCUUUCUCUUAUUCAUUGAAGUACUGAAAGAUUAAAACUUGCUUCUUGCAAGUGUAAAUUAUAGAUAUUUUUUAAAAAGACACAGUAAUAUGAUUAAGCUACACUGCUAAAAUUAAUUUGAAGCUAGCAAAAAAUUAUAAAACAUUUUUGCUCUAGCAAUUAUGGGGAACUGUAUGUAUCCCUUGACAAGUUUUCAAACUGAACAGAAAUAUCUGCCUUGUUAGAGAUUUUUUAAAUGUCCUGGUUAAGUUUUCCUUAAUUAUUUCUCCCCUUCUGUCAGCUGUGUUAUUGCCCUACUGGUUUAAAGGUUAAACAAAGUACUAGAUCUGUCAAAGUGAGUGAAACCAACUGGUGAGGAGCUAUCAAAAGGUAAUCAGGGCUAAUAGGUACAUAAUGGCUAUCAGGGUCCUGUUUGCACUCAGAUACAUCACUGCAGACAGAACACAGCUUUCACUGAUGUCCUUGUUAAAGAAAACAUGGAGAAUCCAGACAUUCUGUGGCUAAAACCAAGAGAACAGACAGAUCUCCCUCCCUUACCCCCAUCCCCAGGACAAAAAGCUGAUAAAACUCAAGCUCUGAAACUAAGAGAUUGAAAUGUGCAUUUGUGUGGUGAAACUAUGAUUUUAGAACAGACCUUUCAAACUGUGUCCUUACUCUAUGUUAAUUUUUAAAUUAGUAGAAUUCUCACAAAAGAUGUAGCUUCUUUCAAAGAUACCAGAUAAACCAGUGUGUCUUAUAGGCCCUUUUAAAGCAGUGUUUACACCAAAACCUCAUUUAGGUGAAAUAAAUCAUUUAAAGAAAGAAAAUAGGAAAAUAUAGAUAAGCACAGCUUGUAAGGCACUUGGGGUCCGAAAUUCUUCUACCUACAUUUUUUUGUUUUUUUUUUGUUUUUUUGUGUUUUUUUUUUUUUUUGCUGUUACCGAGAACAACAUCUACACUAUAACUGCUGGCUGCAUGUGAUUUUACUGCUUCAUCAUUUUGACAAUUAUCUGUUGUGGCUUAAGUGCUUACAAAGCUUACUGUAAACAAUAAUGCAAGGCAUUAAAGCUUUUAUUUACUAUGUGGUGAAACGAAUUCUUCUUAGUUCUUGCCAUAGCUGACAGGAAAUAAAAUCUAAGAUACAUGGAAGAAACAAUGGGCUGCUUACAGUACUAGUUUAAUCUCUUGGAGGCCAGCAACUAAGCACUGAAUAAAGGUUUAUUUUUCAAUUAUAUGUAUCCAUGUAUCUUGGAGUUUUACAUAAUCUUCAUGAAUAACAAUACCACACGUAACUUCAUUGAAAUUAAGUAAGGUUUCCACAGACUGUUUCAGAAUUGAGCUCGCAGUCUGCAGAACUAAGGAAAGGGCAACACGGUGCUUCUCUGCACAGAAAGCUUUGAGAGACAAUCUUUGGAGUUUUCCCAUUGGGUUGCUAAAGCCUGGAAACUUUGUUCAAAUAAAAUCAUCUAAACAAGUUGGAAGCUAAAACAAGUACCAAGAGGAGAAAUAUCUAACAGCACUCUUUCCCAUCCCAACCCACCACAAUUUGGGGGUUUCAGAAAAACAAAUGGAAAUUAAAGCUGUGGUAGCUUUAAUUUGUCAACCCACGUCCUUAGCCUCAGAUCACUCUCCAAGUCAACAGACUUCCAGGAGUCGUGUUUUCAUAGACAUUACUCUCCAUUGUUAUGCUCUAUUUUAUAAUGGAAUUGAAACCCUAGGGUUCCCUCUUACCAGUUAAGCAGAACCUUUCUGAAUGCAUUUUGUUCUGUUGUUUUUCCAAGAAAUUUCCACUUUGUUUGAAACCUGAUUUAAAUUAGCCCUUCCAAGAAAGGCUAAUUCUCACAAGAAGUUUGAGAUCUUUAUCUCAGAAAGUAUGGGGUUUUUCUUGUGACUCACUGACAGGUCUUCAUCAGAUCAAAACCCCAAGUGACAGGUUCAUUCUCUGAUUCUGUACUUAACUUACACUAUAUAAAUUUCUUAGAUAUUAUUAGAAUUUG